CUAAAGGCAAGGUAUGGCAAGGCAAAGCAUCUCAAGGCAUGUAAAGGCAUCUGAAGGCAAGGCAAGGCAAACCAUCUAAAGGCAUGUUAAGGCUUCUAAAGGCAAGGCAAGCAAGGCAAGGAAUCUAAAGGCAUGUAAAGGCACCUAAAUGCAAGACAAGGCAAGGCAUCUGAAGGCAUGUAAAGGAACCUAAUGGGAACUCAAUGCAAGGUAAAGCAAGACAUCAAAUGACAUGUAAAGGCAUCUAAAGGCAAGGCAUCUAAAGGCAUGUAAAAGCAUCUGAAGGCAAGGGAAGGCAAGACAAGCCAUCUAAAGUCAAGGCAAGGCAAGGCAAGGCAUCUAAAGGCAAGGCAAGCCUAGGCAAAGAACUACAGUGUAAGCCCCAUGGGCACAAUGACAUCAUCUGUCUGACACAGCCCCCAACAUGCUGCCCAAUCCAUAAUAAAUGCCUAGUACACAAUUAUUAUGGGAUAAAGUAGUCUGAUCUUCACUAAAUGAGAUGUAGUAAACAAAACAGACACCACACAGGCCCAGUGAGGCUUCUGUAUACUCUGAGAAGUGGGCUGGGGACAUCCCAUCUGUCAGGGCCACAGGAUGGGGAGGGACCCAGACAGCACAUGUGAGAAGAUGAGGCUGGAGCCAGACACUGCAAAGUCACCUGUGAAUGGCACACUGAAAACAUGCAGACUUAAUCCCACAAACAUUAGGAUUGACAAUCACAGAAAUAAAAUGUUUCCAAGAGAACUCAGGGUUGGGGGUUGCAUGAGUAUGGGGGACAGCAUGAAUCAGUGAUGAUAAACUCAAAGACCCUUGGGAGCCAGGCAGGGAACCAAAAGAAACAUGUGGCUCACAGGAUGUGAUAUGACACAGCAGGGAGUGGUGUGGCAUUGCACAGCCCUGGCCAGCACACACAGUGAUGCCGGGUACCUUACUGGGCCCCACCAGUUCCAGGGCAGGGAUGACGUCCUUGGAGGCCCCUUUGGCAGGGACCAGAGUCUGCAUGGGCAUCUCCUUCACCUCAUCACAGAACCCAACAAGCCCACAGAUCUCCUUGGGUUGCUGAACCAUGUGCAUCAUCAUCUGAAUGGCAAUUU
rnacentral:lncRNA from 13 species